rnacentral:rRNA from 1 species
UUGGCUUAGAAGCAGCCACCCUUGAAAGAGUGCGUAAUAGCUCACUGGUCAAGUGAUUCUGCGCCGAUAAUGUAGCGGGGCUCAAGUACACCGCCGAAGUUGUGGCAAUGAUCUUUUUGGAUUGUUGGGUAGGGGAGCGUCGUGUGGCCGUUGAAGCUGCGGUGUAAACCAGUGGUGGAGGCUAUGCGAGUGAGAAUGCAGGCAUGAGUAGCGAAAGAUGAGUGAGAAACUCAUCCGCCGGAUGAUCAAGGGUUCCAGGGUCAAGUUAAUCUGCCCUGGGUUAGUCGGGGCCUAAGGCGAGGCCGACAGGCGUAGUCGAUGGAUAACGGGUUGAUAUUCCCGUACCGGUGAAGAACCGCCCAUACUGAUAUUGUGAUGCUAACCAUGCGAAGCAUGAUGUGCAGGCUUUUGUUUGUGUGUUGUGUGGGUUGUGGGACCCGAUCUUUGGAGGUAAACGUGUUAACAGGUGUGACGCAGGAAGGUAGCCAAGCCACGCGAUGGUUGUCGUGGUCUAAGCGUGUAGGGUUGUCGGUUGUUAAAUGCGCCGGCUGUGUGCCUGAGACGUGAUGGGACCCUGUUUUUGGGGGAUUUGGUGAUCCUAUGCUGCCGAGAAAAGCAUCGGCGUGAGGUUUUAGCCGCCCGUACCCUAAACCGACACAGGUGAUCAGGUAGAGAAUACUAAGGCGAUCGAGAGAAUCAUGGUUAAGGAACUCGGCAAAAUGCCCCCGUAACUUCGGGAGAAGGGGGACCUUGAGCGUGAUGGGCACUUGCUGUCUGGAGCGUGUAUGGGUCGCAGAGACCAGGGGGAAGCGACUGUUUAUCAAAAACACAGGUCCGUGCGAAGUCGUAAGACGAUGUAUACGGACUGACUCCUGCCCGGUGCUGGAAGGUUAAGAGGAUUGGUUAGCUCUUUUGGGCGAAGCUGAGAAUUUAAGCCCCAGUAAACGGCGGUGGUAACUAUAACCAUCCUAAGGUAGCGAAAUUCCUUGUCGGGUAAGUUCCGACCUGCACG